rnacentral:rRNA from 1 species
UAGCGGCGAACGGGUGAGUAACACGUGGGCAACCUGCCCUCAGCUCUGGGAUAACUCCAAGAAAUUGGUGCUAAUACCGGAUGUGACCGCUGACCGCAUGGUCUGGUGGUGGAAAGAUUCAUCGGCUGAGGAUGGGCCCGCGGCCUAUCAGCUUGUUGGUGGGGUGAUGGCCCACCAAGGCGACGACGGGUAGCCGGCCUGAGAGGGUGACCGGCCACACUGGGACUGAGACACGGCCCAGACUCCUACGGGAGGCAGCAGUGGGGAAUAUUGCGCAAUGGGCGGAAGCCUGACGCAGCGACGCCGCGUGAGGGAUGACGGCCUUCGGGUUGUAAACCUCUUUCAGCAGGGACGAAGCGGAAGUGACGGUACCUGCAGAAGAAGCACCGGCCAACUACGUGCCAGCAGCCGCGGUAAUACGUAGGGUGCAAGCGUUGUCCGGAAUUAUUGGGCGUAAAGAGCUCGUAGGCGGUCUGUCACGUCGGCUGUGAAAACCCGAGGCUCAACCUCGGGCCUGCAGUCGAUACGGGCAAACUAGAGUGUUGCAGGGGAGACUGGAAUUCCUGGUGUAGCGGUGAAAUGCGCAGAUAUCAGGAGGAACACCGGUGGCGAAGGCGGGUCUCUGGGCAACAACUGACGCU